rnacentral:pre_miRNA from 1 species
AUUGGAAUUACUGGGUCAUAUGGUAACUCCUUAACUUUUUGAGGAACUACCAAACUGUUUUCCACAGUGGCUGCACCAUUUUAUGAUCCCACUAGCAAU